UGGGGAAUUUUGGACAAUGGGCGAAAGCCUGAUCCAGCAAUGCCGCGUGUGUGAAGAAGGCCUUCGGGUUGUAAAGCACUUUUGUCCGGAAAGAAAUCCUUGGCUCUAAUACAGUCGGGGGAUGACGUACCGGAAGAAUAAGCACCGGCUAACUACGUGCCAGCAGCCGCGGUAAUACGUAGGGUGCAAGCGUUAAUCGGAAUUACUGGGCGUAAAGCGUGCGCAGGCGGUUUGCUAAGACCGAUGUGAAAUCCCCGGGCUCAACCUGGGAACUGCAUUGGUGACUGGCAGGCUAGAGUAUGGCAGAGGGGGGUAGAAUUCCACGUGUAGCAGUGAAAUGCGUAGAGAUGUGGAGGAAUACCGAUGGCGAAGGCAGCCCCCUGGGCCAAUACUGACGCUCAUGCACGAAAGCGUGGGGAGCAAACAGGAUUAGAUACCCUGGUAGUCCACGCCCUAAACGAUGUCAACUAGUUGUUGGGGAUUCAUUUCCUUAGUAACGUAGCUAACGCGUGAAGUUGACCGCCUGGGGAGUACGGUCGCAAGAUUAAAACUCAAAUGAAUUGACGGGGUCAUAGCUGUUUCCU
rnacentral:rRNA from 1 species